UGUGUGUGUGUGUGUGUGUGUGUGUGUGUGUGUGUGUGUGUGUGUCAGCCAUAGGGUAUGUGUGUGUGUCAGCUUUGGGAGGAGUGUGUGUCUGUGUGUCAGCUUUGGGAGGAGUGUGUGUGUCGGCUUUGGGAGGAGUGUGUGUGUGUGUAUGUCGGCUUUGGGAGGAGUGUGUGUGUGAGUGUGUGUGUGUGUAUGUCAGCUUUGGGAGGAGUGUGUGUGUGUGUGUGUGUGUGUGUGUGUGUAUGUCAGCCAACUUUGGGAGGAGUGUGUGUGUGUGUGUGUGUGUGUAUGUCGGCUUUGGGAGGAGUGUGUGUGUGUGUGUGUGUGUGUGUGUGUGUGUGUGUGUGUGUGUGUAUGUCAGCUUUGGGAGGAGUGUGAGUGUGUGUGUGUGUAUGUCAGCUUUGGGAGGAGUGUGUGUGUGUGUGUGUGUGUGUGUGUGUAUGUCAGCCAACUUUGGGAGGAGUGUGUGUGUGUGUGUGUGUGUGUAUGUCGGCUUUGGGAGGAGUGUGUGUGUGUGUGUGUGUGUGUGUGUGUGUGUGUGUGUGUGUGUGUGUGUGUGUAUGUCAGCCAACUUUGGGAGGAGUGUGUGUGUGUAUGUCAGCCAACUUUGGGAGGUGUGUGUGUGUGUGUGUGUGUGUGUGUGUGUGUCAGCCAUAGGGUGUUCAUUUGUAUAUCAGCUUUUGGGGGGGGGGGGGAGUCAGCCAUAGGGGGUGUGCAUAUGUGUCAGCUGCAGAG